rnacentral:rRNA from 1 species
UACGGAGGGUGCAAGCGUUAUCCGGAUUCACUGGGUUUAAAGGGUGCGUAGGUGGGCAGGUAAGUCAGUGGUGAAAUCUCCGAGCUUAACUCGGAAACUGCCGUUGAUACUAUUUGUCUUGAAUAUUGUGGAGGUAAGCGGAAUAUGUCAUGUAGCGGUGAAAUGCUUAGAUAUGACAUAGAACACCAAUUGCGAAGGCAGCUUACUACACAACCAUUGACGCUGAGGCACGAAAGCGUGGGGAUCAAACAGG